rnacentral:rRNA from 1 species
CCUACGGGUGGCAGCAGUGAGGAAUAUUGGUCAAUGGUCGGGAGACUGAACCAGCCAAGCCGCGUGAGGGAGGAAGGUACAGAGUAUCGUAAACCUCUUUUGUCAGGGAACAAAGGCGGGGACGUGUCCCCGGAUGAGUGUACCUGAAGAAAAAGCAUCGGCUAACUCCGUGCCAGCAGCCGCGGUAAUACGGGGGAUGCGAGCGUUAUCCGGAUUUAUUGGGUUAAAAGGGUGCGCAGGCGGUGUGUUAAGUCAGCGGUAAAAGCCCGGGGCCCAACCCCGGCCCGCCGUUGAAACUGGCAGUCUCGAGUUGGAGAGAGGUAUGCGGAAUGCGCGGUGUAGCGGUGAAAUGCAUAGAUAUCGCGCAGAACUCCGAUUGCGAAGGCAGCAUGCCGGCUCCACACUGACGCUGAGGCACGAAAGCGUGGGUAUCGAACAGGAUUAGAUACCCUGGUAGUC